rnacentral:rRNA from 1 species
AGAGUUUGAUCCUGGCUCAGGAUGAACGCUAGCGGCAGGCUUAACACAUGCAAGUCGAGGGGUAGAGGUUGCUUGCAACCUUGAGACCGGCGCACGGGUGCGUAACGCGUAUGCAAUCUACCUUUCACAGAGGGAUAGCCCAGAGAAAUUUGGAUUAAUACCUCAUAGUAUAAUUGAAUGGCAUCAUUUAAUUAUUAAAGUCACAACGGUGAAAGAUGAGCAUGCGUCCCAUUAGCUAGUUGGUAAGGUAACGGCUCACCAAGGCGACGAUCAGUAGGGGAUCUGAGAGGAUUAACCCCCACACGGAUACUGAGACACGGAUCCGACUCCUACGGGAGGCAGCAGUAAGGAAUAUUGGACAAUGCCCGCAAGGGUGAUCCAGCCAUGCCGCGUGCAGGAAGACGGCCCUAUGGGUUGUAAACUGCUUUUACACCGGAGAAAACCUCCCCUCGUGAGGGGAGCUGAUAGUAUGGUGAGAAUAAGCAUCGGCUAACUUCGUGCCAGCAGCCGCGGUAAGACGAAGGAUGCAAGCGUUAUCCGGAUUCAUUGGGUUUAAAGGGAGCGUAGGUGGCCUUAUAAGUCAGUGGUGAAAUCUCUGGGCUUAACCCAGAAAUUGCCAUUGAUACUGUAGGGCUUGAGUAUAGUUGCCGUUGGCGGAAUAUGACAUGUAGUGGUGAAAUACAUAGAGAUGUCAUAGAACACCGAUUGCGAAGGCAGCUGACGAAACUAUAACUGACACUGAGGCUCGAAAGUGCGGGGAUCAAACAGGAUUAGAUACCCUGGUAGUCC